rnacentral:lncRNA from 1 species
UCCUAGCCCUUCCUUCUCAUGGGUGACCAAGGAAUCAGAUGGCUACAGGACCAGCCCUGCAUCUCAGACACAGUGACGAGGACCCAUGCGCUGAGCACUCUGAGGCUGAACCAGAUGAACCAGCUCACCAGGAUGAGGAGGUGACCAGCAGUCGGCCUGGGGCCCUCUU